UUGAACUAACAGAGAUCCCUCUGCUUCUGUCUCCCUAGUACUGGGAUUAAAGGCGUGUGAUCCCAAAUGCUGAGAUGAUACUUUGUGUGAACUGUUUCUCUUUUAGACUGGAUGAAUUUCGUGCAGCCCAGGGUGUCCUUCAACUCACAGAGAUCUGUCUGUCUCUGUCUCCCAAGUGCUGAGAUGAAAGGUGUGUGCCACCACUAGUGUGACUAGCUCUGCAUUCUGCAUCUUCAAGCAAACUUUGUUAGAUUAUAAACAAAAUAUCACCACAGGCAGUCAACCCAACAGUGUCCACAGUUUGUUCUGGCUCUGACAGCAGGAAAACAUCUCCAAGAAAGAACUAGAGCACUCCUCAAAAUCUUACCUGAUAGAGGCCACAAUUAUCCAAAAAGAAAGUCCAACUGUGCCAAGUGUCAGUCAAAUACUUAGGAGUGGUCCUAUUUAAAGGAAAGGGAAUUAAAAGAAGACCGUGUGCACUCUAUCUCUUCCUU
rnacentral:lncRNA from 1 species